UCAGAGCUGCCCAAAUGGGCUAAAGCCUUGGAACAACCCAGGAUCAUUCUAUCAGCCACCAGGUGGCUGGUGGCUCCCCUUUCACCUGACAUUCUCACCUUGGGUAAAGUCCAAUCUGAAGUUUUCAAUGAGAUUGUACUGAAUCUAUGGGUCAGUUCGAAGAGAAAUGACAUGUUUAUAAUAUUGAGUUUUUCAACUCAUGGACAUGAUAUUUCUCAACUUACUUAGUUGUCUUUAGUUCCUUUCUAUGAAAUUUUAUAGUUUUCUCUGUAGAGAUCUUAGACAUUUUUGGUUAGAUUUAUUCCUAGGCAUUAGAUAUUUUUCAGCGCUUAUUAUAAAGUGUAUCUUAAAAUUUUUUUCUGUCAUUGCUGAUGCAUUUCAAUUCAUUAUAGAACAGUGCAGUUAUUUAGUUACCUUCAGAAAAUUUUAACCAAGACUUUUCCAUGCUGACCAACUUGGUCCUGCACAAUCAGUUUCCAUAGUGUGGUGAGGAGAACAGAAAUGAAGAACUUGGCAACAUCAAUCACCAUGAAGACAAUGAAAGAACAAAGUAAGAGUACAAAGUGAUCCAGCCAACUCUCUGACCAACCAACCAAUCACAGACACUGAAAGAAUAGAGAAGAAAAGUCAAGCACUGAGAACUUCAGGUGAAAACGAUGCCAGUUUCUCUACUAGAGGCUGUCAUCUGAGACUGAAGCUCAACUUGGCAAUGAUCCUGUAUUCCCAGCCUCAUUGGUCACGUUGCUGUGGGCUGUGAACCUGUCAGUACUGCUGAACCACAUGACUUGGAAUAGGACCACAGCUCACUCUGAAGUAGGGAAGGAGAGCUAAAAGAAGAUCAUUUUUGGUUGGAAUUUCUGAAAAUUUGACAUCUUCCAGAAAAAGAAUAGUCUAUGUUUCAGCAGUGACCAUGGUAUGCAGAUUGUCUAGGAACAAACCCUCAUUGUUUGGGGAGGACACAGGCUUACCAUGAAAACACCCUUGGGAAAGGACACCCAGGACCCCUUUCCUCUGCCAUUGGUAUGACCUUGGGCACAUCUCAUGCCCCGAACCUCAGUCUUCCUAUCUAUAAAAUGGUGGUAACAGUCCCUGCCCUCCCUGCAGCUUUUUUUGUGGGGAUAGUAGAAGAUUGUGCAUGUGAAAGGGCUUUUUAAGUUGAAGGCAGAGUUAAUGUUAUCAGCAGAUAGAACUUGGGAGAAAUUAGUAAUUGGAUCCUUUUAAACCUGAGCAAAUUGGCAACCUUGGUUGUAUGGUGGAGUCACCCAGAGAACUUUUAAAAUUCCUAA